CCUACGGGAGGCAGCAGUGGGGAAUAUUGGGCAAUGGGCGCAAGCCUGACCCAGCAACGCCGCGUGAAGGAAGAAGGCUUUCGGGUUGUAAACUUCUUUUCUCAGGGACGAAGCAAGUGACGGUACCUGAGGAAUAAGCCACGGCUAACCACGUGCCAGCAGCCGCGGUAAUACGUAGGUGGCAAGCGUUAUCCGGAUUUACUGGGUGUAAAGGGCGUGUAGGCGGGAAAGCAAGUCAGAUGUGAAAACCAUGGGCUCAACCUGUGGCCUGCAUUUGAAACUGUUUUUCUUGAGUACUGGAGAGGCGGACGGAAUUCCUAGUGUAGCGGUGAAAUGCGUAGAUAUUAGGAAGAACACCGGCGGCGAAGGCGGCCUUCUGGGCCACGACUGACGCUGAGGAGCGAAAGCGUGGGUAGCAAACAGGAUUAGAUACCCGAGUAGUC
rnacentral:rRNA from 1 species